rnacentral:rRNA from 1 species
AUUGAACGCUGGCGGCAGGCCUAACACAUGCAAGUCGAGCGAGCGGCGGACGGGUGAGUAAUGUAUGGGGACUGCCCGAUAGAGGGGGAUAACUACUGGAAACGGUGGCUAAUACCGCAUACUAUCGGAUAACCCAUAUGGGAUUAGCUAGUAGGUGGGGUAAAGGCUCACCUAGGCGACGAUCUCUCGCUGGUCUGAGAGGAUGAGAAGCGACACGGGGACUGAGAGAUGGCACAGAGGCCUACGGAGGCAGCAGUGGGGAAUAUUGCGAAAUGGGAGCAAGCCUGAUGCAGCCAUGCCGCGUGUAUGAAGAAGGAAUUAGGGUUGUAAAGUACUUUCAGCGGGGAGGCGGUACCCGCAGAAGAAGCACCGGCUAACUCCGUGCCAGCAGCCGCGGUAAUAC